rnacentral:rRNA from 1 species
UAAGGGCGCACGGUGGAUGCCUUGGCACUAGAAGCCGAUGAAGGACGUUACUAACGACGAUAUGCUUUGGGGAGCUGUAAGUAAGCUUUGAUCCAGAGAUUUCCGAAUGGGGAAACCCAGCAUGAGUUAUGUCAUGUUAUCGAUAUGUGAAUACAUAGCAUAUCAGAAGGCACACCCGGAGAACUGAAACAUCUUAGUACCCGGAGGAAGAAAAAGAAAAUUCGAUUCCCUUAGUAGCGGCGAGCGAAACGGGAAGAGCCCAAACCAACAAGCUUGCUUGUUGGGGUUGUAGGACACUCUAUACGGAGUUACAAAGGACGACAUUAGACGAAUCAUCUGGAAAGAUGAAUCAAAGAAGGUAAUAAUCCUGUAGUCGAAAAUGUUGUCUCUCUUGAGUGGAUCC